rnacentral:rRNA from 1 species
GACGAACGCUGGCGGCGUGCUUAACACAUGCAAGUCGAACGGAAAGGCCCUGCUUUUGUUGGGUGCUCGAGUGGCGAACGGGUGAGUAACACGUGAGUAACCUGCCCUUGACUUUGGGAUAACUUCAGGAAACUGGGGCUAAUACCGGCUAGGAGCUCCUGCUGCAUGGUGGGGGUUGGAAAUUUUCGGCGGUUGGGGAUGGACUCGCGGCUUAUCAGCUUGUUGGUGGGGUAGUGGCUUACCAAGGCUUGGACGGGUAGCCGGCCUGAGAGGGUGACCGGCCAAAUUGGGACUGAGAUACGGCCCAGACUCCUACGGGAGGCAGCAGUGGGGAAUAGUGCACAAUGGGCGGAAGCCUGAUGCAGCAACGCCGCGUGCGAGAUGACGGCCUUCGGGUAGUAAACCGCUUUCGCCUGUGACGAAGCGUGAGUGACGGGAAUGGGUAAAGAAGCACCGGCUAACUACGU